rnacentral:antisense_RNA from 1 species
AAAGACAGCCCAACCCAUUGGAACAGACAGACUCCCAAUGUGGCUGGCAACUGCGGGGGUAGAAGAACUCAGGCAAAGUAGGCACAGGAAUGGGGGAGAUGAGAGCCAGGGACAAAUGCCCAGAAAGCGUUCCGACAAGCAUGUGUGUUCAUACAUGCAUACCCCCAACAAAGGGCAUUGCACUGUGUAACAGAAUUGAACACAAUUUAACAAAGCAGCUCCCAGCCUUCCUGUCACCUCUUUGGCAGUAGGGCAGGCCAUCUCAACUUCGGACACACACAGACAUUCUCUUCAGGAGGAAGGCUGUCCUGUGUGGUGGGGACAAGGCUUCAGGGAAAAUGGCAUUACAGGUUUUCAGGAAAACCGCUGAAGCUUUCUUUUCAUCGUUACCAGAAUGUUGGCAAUCAUUCCCCCACCGCACCCCGAAUUUAAUGCAAGGACUCAACAAGCACAGACACCAAAGCUGGCCACUCCGUGACUGUCACUAUAGGCCGCUACUCAGCCUUCCAUCCACUCAAGUGGACUCGACAUGCAGGGACAGAAAAACCCUUUCCCAUCUCUGCAGGACAGAGGGCAAGAG